rnacentral:rRNA from 1 species
AGCGAACGCUAGCGGCGGGCCUAACACAUGCAAGUCGAGCGGGGGAGCAAUCCCCAGCGGCGGACGGGUGAGUAACACGUAGGUUAUGUGCCCUUUGGUGGGGAAUAACCGUGGGAAACCAUGGCUAAUUCCGCAUAUCGAGCGAAAUCUUGAAAGCCUUCGGGCGCCAAAAGGAGCAACCUGCGGCCCAUUAGCUUGUUGGUAGGUAACGGCCUACCAAGGCGAUGAUGGGUAGCUGGUCUGAGAGGAUGAUCAGCCACACUGGAACUGAGACACGGUCCAGACUCCUACGGGAGGCAGCAGUGGGAAUAUUGCGCAAUGGGCGAAAGCCUGACGCAGCCAGCCGCGUGAGUGAUGAAGGCCUUCGGGUCGUAAAACUCUGUCGGGAGGGACGAAGGGGUAACCCUGACGGUACCUCGCAAGAAAGCACCGGCUAACUCUGUGCCAGCAGCCGCGGUAAAU